rnacentral:rRNA from 1 species
UGGGGAAUUUUGGACAAUGGGGGAAACCCUGAUCCAGCCAUCCCGCGUGUGCGAUGAAGGCCUUCGGGUUGUAAAGCACUUUUGGCAGGCAAGAAACGUCAUGGGUUAAUACCCCGUGAAACUGACGGUACCUGCAGAAUAAGCACCGGCUAACUACGUGCCAGCAGCCGCGGUAAUACGUAGGGUGCAAGCGUUAAUCGGAAUUACUGGGCGUAAAGCGUGCGCAGGCGGUUCGGAAAGAAAGAUGUGAAAUCCCAGAGCUCAACUUUGGAACUGCAUUUUUAACUGCCGGGCUAGAGUGUGUCAGAGGGAGGUGGAAUUCCGCGUGUAGCAGUGAAAUGCGUAGAUAUGCGGAGGAACACCGAUGGCGAAGGCAGCCUCCUGGGAUAACACUGACGCUCAUGCACGAAAGCGUGGGGAGCAAACAGG